CGUUUUCCGAUAGUACUCCACCAGCGAUUGUCUCUCUCUCGGCCCUCUUUCUCUCUAUCCUAACCCUAAUCGAACCUGCUACUUCAUGUGCGAUGAUUCCGAUCUCUUUUUUUUUGAUAUUAUCAUUCUGGUUGAGUUGAUGGCUUCGGAGGUGCUAACAAAUGAAGCUUACCAUGAAUAAUGUGAUAUUUAUAGUUACGGAAUCAUAAUAUGGGAGCUUUCCGCAAUGCAGUGACAUGAAUGAACUUGAUGCAAGUUGUAGGCUCAUAUCUUUUCGUUAUCAGGAAGUUUUGGCGAAGGAUGGAGAAGUUAUUGAGAGAUCCCUUGCAGUUGAAGCGGCCAAUGUCAUCAGUUUCUGGUGGCUCAAUGGCAGUGAGAUUGAUGUAAGAAAGCUGAACGUUCUCACAAGGCACGGCUGAGCUGCAUUGCAGAUUUACUGCAAAUUCAGAGUUAAAUGAUGGUAGAUACGAUACGAUACCUGAUUCCAUGACCAGGACCACAUCUAACGUUAGAAACCGACACGUUGAUGCUACCAGGUCCGAUGGAAACACAGUCGUCGCCGACACUGAUGUCGGAGGCUGUUAUGUUGAUAUUGGUGGACUGACUGAUAUGAAUGCCAUCAGUGUUCUGACUAUUCCAAGGAGCUGUAAUGUUGAACCCAGAAAGAUGAAUAUUGUCGCACCCAUUAAGGGCUACAUGAAAGCCCUUGCUGUUCACAAGGCUAAUAUUGCUCACUGUCGCAUUUGACACAUCACUCAGCUUCAAAGACUGCUCAUAUAAAGGAAACUUGCAUCAAUGCAUGGAACUGGGUAAAAAUGGUUAAAGCUUUGGUGUCUUUGAUGGGGGAUUGAAGCAGAUGAUCACAGCAAAUUCAGAUAGAAAAUCCCGCAAAAAAAAGCGAUGGCGGCAGUUGAAACCAUACAACCAGGUUUCAGCACCCUGGCCGUCGAGAAUGCCGGAUCCGACGUUGCCGGUGAUGGUGAGAUGGCGGAGGGACUUGAAGUAGAUCCAAACGUCGGCGGUGAGGGUGGUGGGAGCAAUCAAAGUGCCUAAAAUGAUGACUUUGGGAGAGAGAUCACCGAAACAAGGGCCUGAAAAUAACACUUGGGCAAGGAAGAAGCUGCCCUCUGGUAUUAACAAGGUUGAGCUUCCUCUCAAUUGCCCCAUAAUCAGUUACAUCAAAAACUGCCAGUCCCCUCCAUGGAUCUCCGACGGGGGGCUCCGCCAUGUCCGGCGGCAGAAGAAGAAAAUCCCAUGAACCGGCGGCAGAUUCCAGUGCUGGUUCCGGCGAGAAAUUACGUCCAGAUACAGAAACAGCCAGAAGAAAAUAGAACAUUACCAGAGAUGAAAGCUUCAUGGUUUUUUGAGAAUUUUGAGAUUCUCCUCACUAAGAAAAUGGCGAUAAUUGGCCAUUUAUAAUCUAAUGAAUUCUUAACUGAAGUAAUUACGAUUAAUUAAUUACUUGGGAUUGGUUUGGUUCGUUUCUGGUCGUAUCUAAUUUAAUUCUGGAUUAUCAUCUC